rnacentral:rRNA from 1 species
CAAUAGCGUAUAUUAAAGUUGCUGCAGUUAAAAAGCUCGUAGUUGCAUUUCCGAGGCAAGGGAUUAGUCCGACCUUUGGUGGGUAUUUAAUCCUCUUGCCUCGUCCUUGAGUGGUGCUUCUUGGUAUUAAGUUAUCGAGGAGAUAGCCGCUCAUCGUUUACUGUGAGAAAAUUAGAGUGUUCAAAGUAGGCUUAUGCCGUUGAAUAUAUUAGCAUGGAAUAAUAAGAUAGGACCUCGGUACUAUUUUGUUGGUUUGAGAACCAAGGUAAUGAUGAAUAGGGACAGUUGGGGGUAUUCGUAUUCAGUUGUCAGAGGUGAAAUUCUUAGAUUUACGGAAGACGAACUACUGCGAAAGCAUUUACCAAGGAUGUUUUCAUUAA